CUGCAUCGUAGAGAAAAUCGCGUUUGAGUUCGCCUCCUGCACUGGCGAAAAGAGCCAUGGCCAGGGAGCGCAGUGAGAGCAGCAGCUCGGGAUCAGGUUCGGAAGCAGCCAAGAAAAAGAAGCCAGUUGAGCCCAAGAAAAAGGAAAAAGAGCGAGGCCGUGAUAAGGAGCGUAAGAAGCGGGCCAAGAGUGGCAGUCCAUCAUCAAGUGAUAGCAGUAGAAGCUCGUCCGGCUCAUCGUCCAGCUCGAGCAGCGCCAGCUCGCGCAGCAGCAGCUCCUCCA